rnacentral:rRNA from 1 species
GGGUUGUGAGGUUAAGCGACUAAGCGUACACGGUGGAUGCCCUGGCAGUCAGAGGCGAUGAAGGACGUGCUAAUCUGCGAAAAGCGUCGGUAAGGUGAUAUGAACCGUUAUAACCGGCGAUGUCCGAAUGGGGAAACCCAGUGUGAUUCGUCACACUAUCGUUAACUGAAUACAUAGGUUAACGAGGCGAACCGGGGGAACUGAAACAUCUAAGUACCCCGAGGAAAAGAAAUCAACCGAGAUUCCCCCAGUAGCGGCGAGCGAACGGGGAGCAGCCCAGAGUCUGAAUCAGCUUGUGUGUUAGUGGAACGGUCUGGAAAGUCCGACGGUACAGGGUGAUAGUCCCGUACACCAAAAUGCACAGGCUGUGAACUCGAAGAGUAGGGCGGGACACGUGGUAUCCUGUCUGAAUAUGGGGGGACCAUCCUCCAAGGCUAAAUACUCCUGACUGACCGAUAGUGAACCAGUACCGUGAGGGAAAGGCGAAAAGAACCCCGGCGAGGGGAGUGAAAAAGAACCUGAAACCGUGUACGUACAAGCAGUGGGAGCACCUUCGGGUGUGACUGCGUACCUUUUGUAUAAUGGGUCAGCGACUUAUAUUCUGUAGCAAGGUUAACCGUAUAGGGGAGCCGCAGGGAAACCGAGUCUUAACUGGGCGUUAAGUUGCAGGGUAUAGACCCGAAACCCGGUGAUCUAGCCAUGGGCAGGUUGAAGGUUGGGUAACACUAACUGGAGGACCGAACCGACUAAUGUUGAAAAAUUAGCGGAUGACUUGUGGCUGGGGGUGAAAGGCCAAUCAAACCGGGAGAUAGCUGGUUCUCCCCGAAAGCUAUUUAGGUAGCGCCUCGUGAAUUCAUCUUCGGGGGUAGAGCACUGUUUCGGCUAGGGGGUCAUCCCGACUUACCAACCCGAUGCAAACUACGAAUACCGAAGAAUGUUAUCACGGGAGACACACGGCGGGUGCUAACGUCCGUCGUGAAGAGGGAAACAACCCAGACCGCCAGCUAAGGUCCCAAAGUCAUGGUUAAGUGGGAAACGAUGUGGGAAGGCACAGACAGCCAGGAUGUUGGCUUAGAAGCAGCCAUCAUUUAAAGAAAGCGUAAUAGCUCACUGGUCGAGUCGGCCUGCGCGGAAGAUGUAACGGGGCUAAACCAUGCACCGAAGCUGCGGCAGCGACACUAUGUGUUGUUGGGUAGGGGAGCGUUCUGUAAGCCUGCGAAGGUGACCUGUGAGGGUUGCUGGAGGUAUCAGAAGUGCGAAUGCUGACAUAAGUAACGAUAAAGCGGGUGAAAAGCCCGCUCGCCGGAAGACCAAGGGUUCCUGUCCAACGUUAAUCGGGGCAGGGUGAGUCGACCCCUAAGGCGAGGCCGAAAGGCGUAGUCGAUGGGAAACAGGUUAAUAUUCCUGUACUUGGUGUUACUGCGAAGGGGGGACGGAGAAGGCUAUGUUAGCCGGGCGACGGUUGUCCCGGUUUAAGCAUGUAGGCUGGUUAUCCAGGCAAAUCCGGAUAAUCAAGGCUGAGGUGUGAUGACGAGGUACUACGGUGCUGAAGUAACAAAUGCCCUGCUUCCAGGAAAAGCCUCUAAGCAUCAGGUAACAUCAAAUCGUACCCCAAACCGACACAGGUGGUCAGGUAGAGAAUACCAAGGCGCUUGAGAGAACUCGGGUGAAGGAACUAGGCAAAAUGGUGCCGUAACUUCGGGAGAAGGCACGCUGGUGUGUAGGUGAAGUCCCUGCGGAUGGAGCUGAGACCAGUCGAAGAUACCAGCUGGCUGCAACUGUUUAUUAAAAACACAGCACUGUGCAAACACGAAAGUGGACGUAUACGGUGUGACGCCUGCCCGGUGCCGGAAGGUUAAUUGAUGGGGUUAUCCGUAAGGAGAAGCUCUUGAUCGAAGCCCCGGUAAACGGCGGCCGUAACUAUAACGGUCCUAAGGUAGCGAAAUUCCUUGUCGGGUAAGUUCCGACCUGCACGAAUGGCGUAAUGAUGGCCAGGCUGUCUCCACCCGAGACUCAGUGAAAUUGAACUCGCUGUGAAGAUGCAGUGUACCCGCGGCAAGACGGAAAGACCCCGUGAACCUUUACUAUAGCUUGACACUGAACAUUGAGCCUUGAUGUGUAGGAUAGGUGGGAGGCUUUGAAGCGUGGACGCCAGUCUGCGUGGAGCCAACCUUGAAAUACCACCCUUUAAUGUUUGAUGUUCUAACGUUGGCCCCUGACCGGGGUUGCGGACAGUGUCUGGUGGGUAGUUUGACUGGGGCGGUCUCCUCCCAAAGCGUAACGGAGGAGCACGAAGGUUAGCUAAUCCUGGUCGGACAUCAGGAGGUUAGUGCAAUGGCAUAAGCUAGCUUGACUGCGAGCGUGACGGCGCGAGCAGGUGCGAAAGCAGGUCAUAGUGAUCCGGUGGUUCUGAAUGGAAGGGCCAUCGCUCAACGGAUAAAAGGUACUCCGGGGAUAACAGGCUGAUACCGCCCAAGAGUUCAUAUCGACGGCGGUGUUUGGCACCUCGAUGUCGGCUCAUCACAUCCUGGGGCUGAAGUAGGUCCCAAGGGUAUGGCUGUUCGCCAUUUAAAGUGGUACGCGAGCUGGGUUUAGAACGUCGUGAGACAGUUCGGUCCCUAUCUGCCGUGGGCGCUGGAGAAUUGAGGGGGGCUGCUCCUAGUACGAGAGGACCGGAGUGGACGCAUCACUGGUGUUCGGGUUGUCAUGCCAAUGGCACUGCCCGGUAGCUAAAUGCGGAAGAGAUAAGUGCUGAAAGCAUCUAAGCACGAAACUUGCCCCGAGAUGAGUUCUCCCUGAGACUUUAAGUCUCCUGAAGGAACGUUAAAGACGAUGACGUUGAUAGGCCGGGUGUGUAAGCGCAGCGAUGCGUUGAGCUAACCGGUACUAAUGAACCGUGAGGCUUAACCUUACAACGCCGAAG